rnacentral:lncRNA from 1 species
CAUUAACAGGUAUACCUGAUUACGCGUGAAUAAACUUGAUCAGAUUGAAUGAGAAACCACAACCUAAGCACACUGUACAAAACAGUUCUGUUUUUGGAACAUGUACAGGUUGAUUAAGUGUACACGAGAGUAUUUGACGGUGUGAGGAUCUGUAUUCGGGCAUGCUAACCAGGCCCGAGAGAAUUUGUUCGACACGACCAG